GGUUAACGCUGGCGGCGCGCCUGAUACAUGCAAGUCGAGCGAGGGCUCAUUUCUCGCAAGAGAGAUGGGUUCCUAGCGGCGAACGGGUGAGUAACACGUGGGCAACCUUUCCCAAAGUGGGGAUAACAUCGAGAAAUCGGUGCUAAUACCGCAUGUGGUCAUCGAAGACAUCUUUGAUAGAAAAAAGCAGCAAUGCGUCGUUUGGGGGUCGGGCCCGCGGCCUAUCAGCUUGUUGGUGGGGUAACGCCUACCAAGGCAUUGAC
rnacentral:rRNA from 1 species